rnacentral:rRNA from 1 species
UACGUAGGUGGCGAGCGUUGUCCGGAUUUACUGGGCGUAAAGAGCGCGCAGGCGGUCGAUCAAGUCGGAUGUGAAAGCCCCCAGCUCAACUGGGGAGGGUCAUUCGAUACUGGUCGACUCGAAGGCAGGAGAGGGAAGCGGAAUUCCCGGUGUAGUGGUGAAAUGCGUAGAUAUCGGGAGGAACACCAGUGGCGAAGGCGGCUUCCUGGCCUGUUCUUGACGCUGAGGCGCGAAAGCCAGGGGAGCAAACGGG